rnacentral:lncRNA from 1 species
CUGACAGUUUGGCUUCCCUGUUCCAGGUGGCAAAGCCUGUGGGGUAUUCACCUACCUGCUGCAUGAAGGCAGCAUGGAGGGACUGUGGUGGAUUAUCUGCAAAGAUGGCCCAAAUUCUCUCAUCCCUGCAGGUACAUACAAGCCAGGUUUCCAGAAGUUCCCUAGUCAUUGGGCAUUUCUGAGACUCUUGAUGCAUAUGCCAAGUAGUUAUGGAGAAAGACAUAGCCGCUUACCUCUGCAGGCAUCAUUGUGUGAAAGGAAGACCGAGGCUGUCUCACCACCCUUGAAGAGAAGCCUUUUGCUAAGGUGAUAGCUGCAUGUCCAAGCCUAUUGCGUGGCAUGGAUUUUGCCUUCUACAGCCCACUAAAGGUACAUAAACACCAUUAACCAAUCUGAAAAAAAAAUUGAUGUCUAACUGGUUAUUAUUUCCUAGCAAAUGUUCUGCAAGUUGGGAAAUUGAGGUGUACGGAAUGCUUAUUUGGUUGACUCAGUAUCAUCCUAAAUGUAUGAACUAAUGUUUAGGAGUUUGCAGUUCACCCGCAAACCUCAGCGAUCCAAGCUCCCCUGGAUGACCAUCACUCACCUAGAAAAGAACAAUAACAGGACCUGUUUUGCUAAUCCAGGACUGUUCUCCAGCACUAACUCUAAAUAAUCCCUUCUGUUAGAGUCCACUUUCUGGAACCUGUUGCCUCCGUUUUCAACG